AUGCCAAAAAACAUUAAUUUUUUUCAUAAUUUUUUGCAAAAAACACUAGUUGCUCAUUUGGACCGUUUUAAGUGCGUUUAUGACAGGGGCCCGCAUCCGUCGACACGUCGUUGGCGCACCGGUUCGAGCCGGGCGGGUCAAACACCCCGAAGCGGUGCAGGCCCACCCCCAGCCCUCACUCUCUCCUGCCCUUCUCCCUCUCUUUGCUCCCGCUCGUUCGCCGCCGCGGUCCCCUCCCACAUCUCCGACCGCCGCGUCGCCAUGGUGUCCUGGUCUGAUGACGACAGCAGCAAGAACUCUCACAAGUACGCCGACUCAGCUUCAGACGAGGGCAUCAUCAAGACCAUGGAUAACUCCGAUUUCGAGGGCACUAAACCUGAUGCUUUGUGCAAUGAACUCCCUGCCAGCAGAGAGGCGUGUUGCUUUCCAGGGCAUCCAUACUGGCAGGAGGUUCCUUGCUUGUGCUGUGAAGGUAUGUGCCAAAUUUAUGCUAAUUUGGUCACUGUUUAG
rnacentral:rRNA from 1 species